AAGAGUGCUUGAAAUUGUCGGGAGGGAAGCGGAUGGGGGCCGGCGAUGCGCCUCGGUCGGAUGCGGAACGGCGAGAGCCGGUCCGCCGAUCGACUCGGGGCGCGGACCGAUGCGGAUUGCGGCGGCGGCCCAAGCCCGGGCUGUUGAUAUGCCUGUGGAGACGUCGUCGCCGCGAUUGUGGUAGGCAGCGCGCGCCGUCCCGGCGUGCCUCGGCAUCUGCGCGCUCCUGGCGUCGGCCCGCGGGCUCCCCAUUCGGCCCGUCUUGAAACACGGA
rnacentral:rRNA from 1 species